CGGAGGGAUCAUUACACAAAUAUGAAGGCGGGCUGGAACCUCUCGGGGUUACAGCCUUGCUGAAUUAUUCACCCUUGUCUUUUGCGUACUUCUUGUUUCCUUGGUGGGUUCGCCCACCACUAGGACAAACAUAAACCUUUUGUAAUUGCAAUCAGCGUCAGUAACAAAUUAAUAAUUACAACUUUCAACAACGGAUCUCUUGGUUCUGGCAUCGAUGAAGAACGCAGCGAAAUGCGAUAAGUAGUGUGAAUUGCAGAAUUCAGUGAAUCAUCGAAUCUUUGAACGCACAUUGCGCCCUUUGGUAUUCCAAAGGGCAUGCCUGUUCGAGCGUCAUUUGUACCCUCAAGCUUUGCUUGGUGUUGGGCGUCUUGUCUCUAGCUUUGCUGGAGACUCGCCUUAAAGUAAUUGGCAGCCGGCCUACUGGUUUCGGAGCGCAGCACAAGUCGCACUCUCUAUCAGCAAAGGUCUAGCAUCCAUUAAGCCUUUUUUCAACUUUUGACCUCGGAUCAGGUAGGGAUACCCGCUGAAC
rnacentral:rRNA from 1 species